rnacentral:rRNA from 1 species
GAUGAACGCUGGCGGCGUGCCUAAUACAUGCAAGUCGGGCGAAUGGAUUAAGAGCUUGCUCUUAUGAAGUUAGCGGCGGACGGGUGAGUAACACGUGGGUAACCUGCCCAUAAGACUGGGAUAACUCCGGGAAACCGGGGCUAAUACCGGAUAACAUUUUGAACCGCAUGGUUCGAAAUUGAAAGGCGGCUUCGGCUGUCACUUAUGGAUGGACCCGCGUCGCAUUAGCUAGUUGGUGCGGUAACGGCUCACCAAGGCAACGAUGCGUAGCCGACCUGAGAGGGGGAUCGGCCACACUGGGACUGAGACACGGCCCAGACUCCUACGGGAGGCAGCAGGAGGGAAUCUUCCGCAAUGGACGAAAGUCGGACGGAGCAACGCCGCGUGAGUGAUGAAGGCUUUCGGGUCGUAAAACGCUGUUGUUAGGGAAGAACAAGUGCUAGUUGAAUAAGCUGGCACCUUGACGGUACCUAACCAGAAAGCCACGGCUAACUACGUGCCAGCCGCCGCCGUAA